AACUUUUGACAACGGAUCUCUUGGUUCUGGCAUCGAUGAAGAACGCAGCGAAAUGCGAUAAGUAAUGUGAAUUGCAGAAUUCAGUGAAUCAUCGAAUCUUUGAACGCACAUUGCGCCCGCCAGCAUUCUGGCGGGCAUGCCUGUUCGAGCGUCAUUU
rnacentral:rRNA from 1 species